rnacentral:rRNA from 1 species
CAGUCGCCGCGGUAAUACAGAGGAUGCAAGCGUUAUCCGGAAUGAUUGGGCGUAAAGCGUCUGUAGGUGGCUUUUCAAGUCCGCCGUCAAAUCCCAGGGCUCAACCCUGGACAGGCGGUGGAACUACCAAGCUGGAGUACGGUAGAGGCAGAGGGAAUUUCCGGUGGAGCGGUGAAAUGCGUUGAGAUCAGAAAGAACACCAACGGCGAAAGCACUCUGCUGGGCCGACACUGACACUGAGAGACGAAAGCUAGGGGAGCAAAUGGGAUUAGAUACCCCCGUAGUCCCUGUCUCUUAUACA